rnacentral:rRNA from 1 species
AUCCCAGCUCCAAUAGCGUAUAUUAAAGUUGUUGCAGUUAAAAAGCUCGUAGUCGGAUUUCGGGGCCUGCCGAGCGGUCUGCCGAUGGGUAUGCACUGUUCGGCGCGUCCUUCUUUCCGGAGACUAAUUCUACUCUUAACUGAGCGGAAUUGGGAGACGGAUCGUUUACUUUGAAAAAAUCAGAGUGUUUCAAGCAGGCAGCUCGCUCUUGCAUGGAUUAGCAUGGGAUAAUGAAAUAGGACUUUGGUGCUAUUUUGUUGGUUUCGAACACCGAAGUAAUGAUUAACAGGGACAGUCAGGGGCACUCGUAUUCCGCCGAGAGAGGUGAAAUUCUCAGACCAGCGGAAGACGAACCACUGCGAAAGCAUUUGCCAGGGAUGUUUUCAUCA